rnacentral:rRNA from 1 species
AACGAACGCUGGCGGCAUGCCUAACACAUGCAAGUCGAACGAGACCACCGGGUCUGCUGGCGCACGGGGGCGUAACGCGUGGGAACCUGCCCUUAUGUUCUGAAUAACACCCUGAAAUGGGGGCUAAUUCCGGAUAAUUUCUUCGGACAAAAGAUUCAUCGUGUUUGGAGGGGCGCGCGUUGUUUUAGCUUGUUGGUAGGGUAAAAGCCUACCAAGGCUAUGCUCCAUAGCUGGGCGGAGAGGAUGAUCAGCCACACUGGGACUGAGACACGGACCGGAAUCCUAGGGGAGGCAGGAGUGGGGAAUAUUGGACAAUGGGCGAAAGCCUGAUCGAGCAAGGCCGCGUGAGUGAUGAAGGGCUUAGGGUUGUAAAGCUAUUUUAACCGGGGUGAUAAUGACAGUACCGGGAGAAUAAGCGCCGGCUAACUCCGUG